rnacentral:rRNA from 1 species
CAGUAGCCACGGGAAUACGUAGGUGGCAAGCGUUGUCCGGAAUUAUUGGGCGUAAAGCGCGCGCAGGCGGCCUAUCCAGUCUGUCUUAAAAGUUCGGGGCUCAACCCCGUGAUGGGAUGGAAACUGGUAGGCUAGAGUAUCGGAGAGGAAAGCGGAACUCCUAGUGUAGCGGUGAAAUGCGUGGAUAUUAGGAAGAACACCAGUGGCGAAGGCGGCUUUCUGGACGAAAGCUGACGCUGAGGCGCGAAAGCCAGGGGAGCGAACGGGAUUAGAUACCCCGGUAGUCCCUGUCUCUUAUACA